AUACGUAGGGAGCGAGCGUUAUCCGGAUUUAUUGGGUUUAAAGGGUGCGCAGGCGGCCAUUUAAGUCAGCGGUUAAAUCGUGGGGCUCAACCCCAUUCUGCCGUUGAUACUGGGUGGCUUGAUUGCGGUCGAGGUUGGCGGAAUUCGUUGUGUAGCGGUGAAAUGCAUAGAUAUGACGAAGAACACCGAUUGCGUAGGCAGCUGACCAGAUCGCAAAUGACGCUCAUGCACGAAAGUGCGGGGAUCGAACAGGAUUAGAUACCCUGGUAGUCCGCACAGUAAACGAUGAGUACUUGUUUUCGGCGAUAUAAUGUCGGAGGCAAAGCGAAAGCGAUAAGUAUUCCACCUGGGGAGUACGCCGGCAACGGUGAAACUCAAAUGAAUUGACGGGG
rnacentral:rRNA from 1 species